UACGGAGGGUGCAAGCGUUAUCCGGAUUCACUGGGUUUAAAGGGUGCGUAGGAGGGCAGGUAAGUCAGUGGUGAAAUCUCCGAGCUUAACUUGGAAACUGCCGUUGAUACUAUCUGUCUUGAAUACCGUGGAGAUGAGCGGAAUAUGUCAUGUAGCGGUGAAAUGCUUAGAUAUGACAUAGAACACCAAUUGCGAAGGCAGCUGGCUACAGGGAUAUUGACACUGAGGCACGAAAGCGUGGGGAUCAAACAGG
rnacentral:rRNA from 1 species